AAAUGACACUCAGUUCCAACUCAUUUAACAACUGUUCAACCAGCUGGGGAAAUGUAAUCUGGGGAGCACUAUUUUAAAACUGAUCUGCUUAAGCCUGUCUCACUUAUGAGCUGAGUUAAACAGUUCCUUUGUUGAUUGACUCAAAAACCAUGAAGAUCCCCACCAUAAAAAAAGUUGGGAAAGAAAAUGGAUCAAGAACCUUCGUCUCUUCAUCUCUUGCCUCUUAAGUUUACUCAGUUCUUUGAAUUACUCUGAAAAAGAAAUCAUCCAAGCAUAAACAUUUGUGCUACAAUCUCCAUAAAGAAAGCAGGCUAUUGGAACCCAUUUGGAAUUUCUUUAUCAUCCCUCAGCACAUCCUUGAGAUCCCUGUUGUUCAACUGUUCAAUAAAUUCAACAUCUCCAAGAGCCCUGGUACACAGUGGUUAGAAUACAGUAUUGCAGGCAAACUCUGCCCAGACUAGAGUUCGAUCCUCAUGAGGUUCAAGAGUCACUCAGCCUUCCAUCUUUCUAAGAAUAUUUCUCAUAUUAUUAUGAAGGAUGUUCUGGGGACUCCUCUCCAAGAUGGCUACUGAAUGGUAAGGGAUUUUUUGUCUCUUGUCUCUUCUGAUUUUGUUGCCAAAGCUGGUUCUGUGGCAGUGCUGCUCCCUGGAUUUGAAUGGGAGCAUUUAGGAAUGACCCAAGAUGCCUUUUGGACAGUCGUGGAUCCACCUGAGAAGGGGAGUCUUGAAGAUUCCAGUUCCUUUUGGGAGCAGUGGGAAAGUCACUGAUCAUCCAUCUUCCUUUCAACAGUUAUUUUUUUAAGCAUGCCUGGGUUUUAACUUUAGCUUUUGAAUUUUCUGGUUUAUUCUGCUUUUUAUCUUUAAAAGUUGACCAGUUGGUUGAAUGCUGAUUUAUUUUAACCCCUUGCUGGACUCUAACUGUUCUCCUUUUUCUUUUUCCUUUUAAUUUAUCUUGUCAUUUGAAUAACUUUUGCUUUCCUGUAAGGAAACAUGGCAUGCUCUUGGAUGGUGAAUUUUUCCAUUUUUAAAUUUGCAAAAUAUUUGGAGGGUUUUUUUUUAUUAUUAUUUUUCUUUUAAUCUUGGAUCAAAAUAUCCAGAAAAUAUCUUCCUGCUCCUUUUUGCUUCAGCAUUCUUUGUUUCCUGGCUAUGUUACACAGAGCAACAAUGUAUCAGAUUAUAGACAACCAAGGAUGGCUGAGAUCUGGUAAAAAACCUUUUGGUAACAUGCAUUUUUUUAGUCGAAAGCUUUUUUAAAAAAUUUGAUGAAAUAAUGGCUGUGGAAAAUAUUCAGAUGCAUGUAGAUCUUUAUAAAUUAGUUUCACAAAAGGAAUGUGAUUUGAAAGCUGCAGAUCCUAGUCAGCUGGAAGAAAUUACCGCCCAAAAAGUACCCCUCAGACCGGAAACUUACCUAUUAGGUAUACUGACAAAGGACUAUAAAAAAGAGACACAAUACUUGAUAAUACACAUCCUAACUGCAGCUAGAAUCGUCUUCGCACAAAUGUGGAAAUUGGAAAACACGCCACCAGAAGAAAAAAUAAUACAAAAAAUUAUGGAAUGUGCAGAAAUGGACAAAUUGACCAAAGAAAUACAAGGAAAAGAAGAUACAGACUUUUACUUAAUUUGGCAAGAAUGGUACAAAUGGUUAGACAAAAAAGACACGAAAUAAGAGAUUACCACCCAAUGAUACAAAAAUAAGGAAAUAAAAGGAAAUAUCGUUAUAUAAACAUUGAUACAAGAUGAAAGAUAAUAUAUAUAGAUAUAUUGAUAUAUAAUUACCGAAAUAGCUUUAUUUUCAAAGUUCAAGUUAUGUGACUUGAUUUCAUUGUAUAGUUAGUAUAUGUCUAGUUUGUUUUAACG